GACAGAGGUGGCAAGCGUUGUUCGGAUUUAUUGGGCGUAAAGAGCGCGUAGGCGGUCCUUUAAGUCGGUGGUGAAAUCCCGGGGCUUAACCCCGGAAUUGCCUUCGAUACUGGAGGACUUGAGUACGGGAGAGGGUAGUGGAAUUCCCAGUGUAGAGGUGAAAUUCGUAGAUAUUGGGAAGAACACCGGUGGCGAAGGCGGCUACCUGGACCGUAACUGACGCUGAGGCGCGAAAGCGUGGGGAGCAAAC
rnacentral:rRNA from 1 species